rnacentral:rRNA from 1 species
UACGGGGGGGGGCAAGCGUUGUUCGGAAUUACUGGGCGUAAAGGGCUCGUAGGCGGCCAACUAAGUCGGAUGUGAAAUCCCCAAGCUUAACUUGGGAACUGCAUCCGAUACUGGAUGGCUUGAAUCCGGGAGAGGGAUGCAGAAUUCCAGGUGUAGCGGUGAAAUGCGUAGAUAUCUGGAGGAAUACCGGUGGCGAAGGCGGCAGUCCUGGACCCGGCAUUGACGCUGAGGAGCGAAAGCUGAAGGGG